UGUCUGUUCACUACGCAUAUCAGCCAGGAAAUCAAACGAUUAUAUGUACACUGGAGAUUCCUGGCCAGUUAGUAGCCUAAACAUCGACGUGGGCAUCGUCUUCAUUAAUAUCUGAAACAAAAUGUAAAUAGUUCCUUCAACUUCACCUCCUAUUUCCAAAUUAACACUUUGUCUAGCCUGAGGUGCUGGUGGUGGAGGCGUGCCAAGAGGAUCCAAACUAUCAAGCUGAAGCUCAUUUGUAUCAUAUGAAUUUUCUUUUUUAGAAACAAAUAAAUCAGGUGAUGAAGUUUUUAAAGAAUGUAAAAUAUCUUUACUAACAGUUAAGCUAGAAAGAUCUUUUCCAACUGAAUCAUUUUCUGUCGUAACUGAAUAAGUAGUAUCAUUGACACGACUACGUUGAAUAAUUUCUUUUUCAAUUUCAUUAAUUUGCCGCUUCAUCAACAUCACAGUUGGAUUAUUAUUAUCAGUAUCACUAGCAUGUCCACUAGAUAAGCCAUCUUCAAGAACUGGCAUACUAGCAUAUAUUCUCAAUGAAUCUGAAUUAUUUCCUAAAUCACCCACUGAUCCAAGAAGACCACUAGCUGGUAUCAACUCAUUAUCCAUCAUCAUUAAAGAAACUUCACUAUCAAGAUCUCCACAAUUACUAUCGCAAUCAGUUGUUUCAGGACUCAAUGUAAAAUUGCGAGAGUGCCCAACUUGUAGUCCAACCUCUGUUUCUCCGAGAUCUUCACUACUACCAGUGCCUACUGAGAGGUCUAAGAAAUUAUUUUCAUGUUCAGCAAUCUAAAAAAAUGCAAAAUCAAAAUUUGAAAAAUAAUUUUAUGCUAAAUAAAAUAUUUUAUUUCUUUCUUAUGAAUAAUUUUCAAAUUCAACAAAAUUUAAUUUUAAAUAAUAAUUAGCUUAUACAAAAAAUUAUAUAAAUAAUAUAUUUAUUGCUUAGACUUUAGAAAUUAUUUAUUUUUUACAUAAAUAUCCUUACAUUUUGGGGAAAAUCUGAUCUUUGUUUUUUAGGAGAUUCAUGUACUAAAACUUCUUCUAUUGUUGGAGGACCAGUAGCCAAUCGUUGACCAACAUAAGCGCUUCCUCCUUGUCUUCGUAAUUCGUAAUCUAGAUCCUUAAAUAAUAGAUAAUAAAAUCAAUUUUAAAUAAAAUAAAAUCAUAAAAUAUUUUUUAGUAAAGAUUAUUAAUUAACGUUAUAGAAUUAAAUUAUUUGCUGCAAUAUUAAAAAAAAUUAAAAUAAAGCAUUAACAUCAUUAACAAUAUAUCACAAAUUUAAUAAAUUAAUAAACAUACAAUACUCUUUUUAAAUUAAACCAGUCAAAACUACAAAGAUAUAUUAAUAGUAUUUCUAUUAAAAAUCCACAAGUAAUUCAAAGGAAAUGUUUCAGUCUUUCUAAUUGAGAUUUUUUUGAAUUUCCAUCAAUUUUUUAUCUUUUAUCAAAGCAUUAUUUUAUCUUUAAUUUGUUAGCUAUGUAUGAUGAAUAUAUUUAUCAUAAAAAAAAACCGAUUUUUUAUUAUGUAAUAUAUAUUAUUAUCUUUUCAUUUUUGCAACAAUUUAAAUAAACAUUUUUAAAAUAAACUUUAAAAUAAAAUUUUUUAAUAUAGCUAGUAGGUAAAAAUUCUUUCAUAUCUAUUCUUUCAUAGCUCUAUAAACUUGUUUUCAAAUUUCAUAAUCACACAAAAUAUUAUAGAUACAUUCAAACAAAAAUGAAGAAAAAAUCUAAUUUAUGAAUUAUAUUGUAUUUUGUAUUAUUAUAAUAACAAUAAAAUAAAUUUUUAUACCUGAAA